rnacentral:rRNA from 1 species
ACGGCGAGUGAAGCGGCAAAAGCUCAAAUUUGAAAUCUGGUACCUUUGGUGCCCGAGUUGUAAUUUGAAGAUAGUUUUCUGGUGCUGGCCCCCGUCUAUGUUCCUUGGAACAGGACGUCACAGAGGGUGAGAAUCCCGUCUGGCGGGGUGGUCCAGUGCUUUGUAGAUUUCUAUCGACGAGUCGAGUUGUUUGGGAAUGCAGCUCUAAGUGGGUGGUAAAUUCCAUCUAAAGCUAAAUAUUGGCGAGAGACCGAUAGCGAACAAGUACAGUGAUGGAAAGAUGAAAAGAACUUUGAAAAGAGAGUGAAAAAGUACGUGAAAUUGUUGAAAGGGAAGGGUAUUAGAUCAACUUGGUGUUUUGUGAUUAUCUUCCCUUCUUGGGUUGUGCACUCGCAUUUCACUGGGCCAGCAUCGGUUUGGGUGGCAAGAUAAUGGCUUGGGGAACGUGGCACUGUCUUCGGGCAGUGUGUUUAUAGCCCCUGCUGAUGUUGCCUGCCUAGACCGAGGACUGCGGCUUCUGCUGGCGUAAUGAUCUAACACCGCCCG